AUCAUCUUUGAGAGCAUACACUCAACCGUGCAGGGCACCCACGUUUAUUCGUAUGACAUGGACAAUUUCCGUUUAAGGUGCUAGUUAGCCGGUUCGCUAAUGUUAGCAAUGACGUGGCUCAACCGGCAGAUUAUUUAAAUAAUAUCAGUAAUAAAGUUAUCUUUAGAAUAUCAUCGUUUAAUUUACAUGGCAGACAUUAACUUUGCUUCUGCAACAAAUUGUCGAGACUAACGUUAUGUUUUAAAUGGCUUAUGUUGAUUAAUAAAACAAAUUAAGCUACUUUAGCCGCAAAAGAUGAACUAGUUGGUUACGUAGUAGCAUAAAUUUACUUGUAGGAUAGAGGUAAAGUUGGUUUUAUAUUCGCACAUUCGCACUUUCCCCUUAAUAAUAUAAUUUCAUAAAAGUAUUAUUUGCAAACUCUAAAUAGCGAAAUCAUAUUAGCAGCCAAUGACGUAUCAAAAUACAGCAUUGUUCACAGUCAAAUAAACAGUGUUAAUGUUGUUUUCAAGUCAAACUUGCAUGCUAAUUCCGAUCGAAUAUUCAAAGUAACAUGGUAAACAAUGUAGAGACUUCUAAAUGAACAAAUGUGCGAAUAUAAAACCAACUUUACCUCUAUACUUGUAGGUUAUAGUCACCUUCACAGUCAUUGAAAGUACGUGUUUAGUUAUGUUAACUUCUGUUUAUGUUCCUUUUCUGUAGGAUUUUCAUAUAGUAGCUGAUAUUGUGCACAACCAGGAAGCAAGUCCACUAUGUAAUAUUUCACAGAUUUAGCGUAUGUGGAGAAAAAUAUUUGCAUACUUCAAAGCUUUAACCUCAAUGACUUGUUGAUUUGUAUUCAGGAAUAGUCAAAGGAAAGUUUAGUGGUGUAUUUAAAAAAAAAAAAAAGGUAAAAUUCUCAUCCAAAUAGCUCCAAUUGCAACUCAAAGAAAUCAAGCUGCAACUGCAAAUUAUGUAAUUUCUUCAUCCAAGAAAAGUUUCAAUUUCAAAUGAUUAAAAUGAAUUCUGUAUAGGGCAGUGUUUCUCAACCCUGUUCUUGGAGGCACACACUGUAAAAAAUGAAUCUUGAGGCUUGUAAUUUUCAUUAAAAAAAUUAAUGAGGUCAUUAAAAAUAAUGAGCAUAUUUUCUUUAAAAAAUUGAUAUUCUGGAUUUAUUAUAAAAUAUUAAGAAGAUUUCGCUAAUAUAACUAAGAUUUAAAUUUUACUUAUUUUUUUAAGCAAACUAGUGCAAUUACUAAGCUUAAUUUGAGAAACCAGUUAAGCUAAUAAAAUUGAGGAAAGAUGGCUUCACGUUUAUUUUAAGAAAAUUCACUCAAUUAUGUGGAUUUGAUUGAGAUGUUUGCAUUUGAAUCUCAACAACGGCAGUGAUCAGACGACAUUUUGAAGGAGCAGAUCAACCGCGAGCAUGUUAAGAGUUUAAUGAAGAAAACUUUCGCAGUGUUUUCCCACUAAAGAGGAGCAGUUUAUUGAGGCAGAUUUUGAUAAAGAGAAUGGGUGCCAUACAUCAGACCUCACAUUAAAUCAGGGAUGAAACGAGAGAUGUCGUCCUCUGUUGCUGGUCUAUCUGUAUGAAUAAGAGGAAGAGCUCAUCCAGGAGUGCAAUUGUGGGAAUGCACAGAGAAUUGCUGUCUGUCAGAGGGAUGACCAACCAUGAGGACUUCUGCAUUGUCUUGGAGGAUAAGUGAGUCAUGGCUAGCCUGGAAAAUCUAGAAUCGCUGAACUGCAUUUAUACAAAUAUUCCACAAAUUAAAAUCACUUACAAAGAAAUGAAUAUUAAGUUUGCAAUACACAAAUUCUGUCAAAUAUUGUCUAAAAUGUGACUAUUCCUACAAAGGAAAGUUGACAGGUCAGUUUUUUCCAUGACAUGGAUAAAGGAAUUUUUAUCAGAGAUUAGCAUUGCUGUAAAUUUUAUAUAGAUUUGUUUAACAUAUUGUACCAUUUUGUUAUCAGUGUAACAUGUAAUAAAAUGAUAUUUGGCCUAAA